rnacentral:rRNA from 1 species
AUGGCCGCCACCUCCCGCGACGCCCCUGUCCCGCCCGCCAUGCCGGACCUCGUCCGCGACCACCUCUACUUCGGCGACAUCAACGACGCCAUCGCGGCCCUCACCGCCUCCCUCCCGGACGGCACAUACAUCACCCACGUCCUGUCCGUCGUCAGCUCCGCCUCCAUCUCCUUCUUCACCGACUACCGCCCGGGCCUCUCCUUACCAACAGAGGAGGCCCGCCGCGUGGUCGCCGGGGAGGACGGAGCGCCCUCGGCGGUGGCCCCAGGGCGGCUGAUGCGGGUGGUGGAAAGGACCGGGGAAGGGCUAAGGGUGACGCGGAUGGCCGUGCCGCUCAAGGACACGGAGGAGGAGAACCUGCUCGACCACCUCGAGCCGUGCCUCGAUUUUAUCGACGAGGGGAGGAAGGCGGGCAACGUGCUCGUGCAUUGCUUCGCGGGGGUCUCCAGGAGUGCUACCAUCACCACAGCAUAUCUAAUGAGAACAGAGCAGAAGUCUCUUGAAGAAGCACUAGAGUCCUUGAAGGAAAUUAAUGAGUCUGUUUGCCCAAACGAUGGUUUCCUCGACCAGUUAAAAUUGUUUGAAGAAAUGGGUUUCAAGGUUGAUACUUCAAGUCCUUUAUACCGGCGCUUCCGCUUAAAAUUGUUAGGUCAGUCCUACAAAGUUGGAGAGAAAAUAGGGAACCAUGUAUUUGAAGACGAUCCUGGAGUUGCUCGACAGCCUAAUCCUACCCAGGAAUCAUCAGGCAAGGAGAAGACCCUUAAAACAGCAUACCGCUGCAAGAAAUGCAGGAGGAUCGUUGCUGCACAGGACAAUGUUAUCGGCCACACUCCUGGUGAAGGCAACUCGAGCUUUGAGUGGCACGACAAGAGGAAAGGCCACACACACAACAAGGAACAAGAUUGCUCUUCUCUGUAUGUUGAGCCUCUAAAGUGGAUGACUCCAGUAGAAGAUGGUGCUUUGGAGGGGAAGCUGUCGUGCAUCCACUGCGGGGCGCGCCUAGGGUACUUCAACUGGUCAGGGAUCCAGUGCAACUGUGGCAGCUGGAUCACCCCUGCCUUCCAAAUUUCCAAGAGCAAAGUUGAUGUAAGCACCAUCUAG